AUGCAUUGCUCGAUAGUUCCAACAGUUCGAGGAAAAGAAGUGUUUUCGUGUUUUGUUUUCUGGUUUUAUACUUUUACAGACUUCACAUAAACAUGUAAAUAGUUCAAAAAAUCUCCUUUCUUGUUUGUUUUCGCCUACUUUUGUAUGCUUCAGAGAGUUUUGAGUCUGUUAGAGGCAGUGAUGGUUGGUUUUGUUUGAUGGUUUUCUUCUGUAAAUGAUUCUACUUCCAAUUUUACGUAUAAAUUUCCUCCGGUGCUUGCUACAUUGCAACGUCCUUCUUUCUCUCGAUUCAUCGUUCAAACCAAGGUAUGUCCUCUAUUCAACUAAGUUUGUAUUACUAUGUGAGGUUCAGCUUACCCUUGCACAAGCAUUCGUGGGUGAUCCACGACUUAAGACUUGUGGCCUGUAUGUCACAAGGAAACAACUUUACCGUUACUCUUACACUUCCCUUCGUGAUACACUAGUGCGAAGAUAGGUGUUUCAUUACUGUAACUCGUAAGUACACAAUGCCAAUAGGCUACUUUCAGUUGAAGAUGAAAUUGUUAUUCAAACUUACAUACAUACAUAGGAAAGUCCUUUAUUCUUUUUUAUGCGCUCAUCUUUUUAACUAGUUAAAGCUGAUCUGAUACUUUGGUUGCAUGUUUGCUAAAAAUAGUCCAAAAUGCUUCUCGAUUUCAGGGUUCUUCUGAUCUUCGUUGAAUAGAUCAAAAAUGUAGGUCUCUAUUGGACCGGAAGGUCUUUUAGGACUCCCUCCCUUCACGUGCUUAAUCAAGUUGUUGUUGUAAGUCCUAGCAUUGUCAAUGGACGUUAACUGACCUG
rnacentral:lncRNA from 1 species